rnacentral:rRNA from 1 species
AUUGAACGCUGGCGGCAGGCCUAACACAUGCAAGUCGAGCGAGCGGCGGACGGGUGAGUAAUGCCUGGGAAUUGCCCAGUCGAGGGGGAUACCAGUUGGAAACGACUGCUAAUACCGCAUACGAUUGGCUUGCCCAGGUGGGAUUAGCUAGUUGGUGAGGUAAUGGCUCACAAAGGCGACGAUCCCUAGCUGGUCUGAGGGGAUGAUCAGCCAAACGGGAACGGAGACACGGUCCAGACUCCUACGGGAGGCAGCAGGGGGGAAUAUUGGACAAUGGGUGAAACCCUGAUGCAGCCAUGCCGCGUGUGUGAAGAAGGCCUUAGGGUUGUAAAGCACUGUCAGCGAGGAGGCGUUACUCGCAGAAGAAGCACAGGCUAACUCCGUGCCAGCAGCCGAGGUAAUUC